rnacentral:rRNA from 1 species
GUAGGUGGCAAGCGUUAUCCGGAAUUAUUGGGCGUAAAGCGCGCGUAGGCGGUUUCUUAAGUCUGAUGUGAAAGCCCCCGGCUCAACCGGGGAGGGUCAUUGGAAACUGGGGAACUUGAGUACAGAAGAGGAGAGUGGAAUUCCAUGUGUAGCGGUGAAAUGCGCAGAGAUAUGGAGGAACACCAGUGGCGAAGGCGGCUCUCUGGUCUGAAACUGACGCUGAGGUGCGAAAGCGUGGGGAUCAAACAGGAUUAGAUACCCUGGUAGUCCACGCUGUAAACGAUGAGUGCUAAGUGUUAGGGGGUUUCCGCCCCUUAGUGCUGCAGUAAACGCAUUAAGCACUCCGCCUGGGGAGUACGGCCGCAAGGUUG